rnacentral:rRNA from 1 species
UUAAUUGAAGAGUUUGAUCAUGGCUCAGAUUGAACGCUGGCGGCAGGCCUAACACAUGCAAGUCGAACGGUAACAGAGAGCAGCUUGCUGCUCUGCUGACGAGUGGCGGACGGGUGAGUAAUGUCUGGGAAACUGCCUGAUGGAGGGGGAUAACUACUGGAAACGGUAGCUAAUACCGCAUAACGUCUUCGGACCAAAGUGGGGGACCUUCGGGCCUCAUGCCAUCAGAUGUGCCCAGAUGGGAUUAGCUAGUAGGUGGGGUAAAGGCUCACCUAGGCGACGAUCCCUAGCUGGUCUGAGAGGAUGACCAGCCACACUGGAACUGAGACACGGUCCAGACUCCUACGGGAGGCAGCAGUGGGGAAUAUUGCACAAUGGGCGCAAGCCUGAUGCAGCCAUGCCGCGUGUAUGAAGAAGGCCUUCGGGUUGUAAAGUACUUUCAGCGAGGAGGAAGGG